GGCAACGCGACCGAGUGGUUAGGGUGUCAGAUUUGGAUAAGUCUUUAUCUGAUCCUCUUUGAGGGUGCAGGUUCAAAUCUUGCUGUUGUUG
rfam:Sphaerobolus stellatus SS14 unplaced genomic scaffold SPHSTscaffold_101, whole genome shotgun sequence.